rnacentral:rRNA from 1 species
ACGAACGCUGGCGGCGUGCUUAACACCUGCAAGUCGAACGGAAAGGCCCUGCUUUUGUGGGGUGCUCGAGUGGCGAACGGGUGAGUAACACGUGAGUAACCUGCCCUUGACUUUGGGAUAACUUCAGGAAACUGGGGCUAAUACCGGAUAGGAGCUCCUGCUGCAUGGUGGGGGUUGGAAAGUUUCGGCGGUUGGGGAUGGACUCGCGGCUUAUCAGCUUGUUGGUGGGGUAGUGGCUUACCAAGGCUUUGACGGGUAGCCGGCCUGAGAGGGUGACCGGCCACAUUGGGACUGAGAUACGGCCCAGACUCCUACGGGAGGCAGCAGUGGGGAAUAUUGCACAAUGGGCGGAAGCCUGAUGCAGCAACGCCGCGUGCGGGAUGACGGCCUUCGGGUUGUAAACCGCUUUCGCCUGUGAUGAAGCGUGAGUGACGGUAAUGGGUAAAGAAGCACCGGCUAACUACGUG